rnacentral:misc_RNA from 1 species
AAGUCGUAACAAGGUUUCCGUAGGUGAACCUGCGGAAGGAUCAUUAACACGUAUCCAACGUUAAACAACCCUGUGAACUUUCAACCGCUCUUGUAGCCCACGCGGAACAGCAAUCCCGGUAAAUCAAUUGGAGGAAAGGUUUUGAUUCGGGACCUCUGUCCAUCAGGCUACAAUCGAGCUAGGAGCAGUGGCAUGGUUUCCCUAAGCAGUGCAGAAGGAUCCACUGAGUAAGGAUAACGUCGAUCACCGGCCGGCAGAAUGUCACAGGGCUGUAUGCCCCCUCAUUCACACCUUGCCCUAUCUGGCCCCACGGAAACGUUGGGGCACAAACCGAACAACUGUUAACAAUGGAUAUCUUGGUUCUC